GUCUCUGUGGUGCAGUGGUUAGCGCGGUCGCCUGAAAAGCGACAGACUCGGGUUCGAUCCCCGACGGAGGCC